rnacentral:rRNA from 1 species
UACGAAGGGGGCUAGCGUUGCUCGGAAUCACUGGGCGUAAAGCGCACGUAGGCGGACUCUUAAGUCGGUGGUGAAAUCCUGGAGCUCAACUCCAGAACUGCCUUCGAUACUGAGAGUCUCGAGUCCGGGAGAGGUGAGUGGAACUGCGAGUGUAGAGGUGAAAUUCGUAGAUAUUCGCAAGAACACCAGUGGCGAAGGCGGCUCACUGGCCCGGUACUGACGCUGAGGUGCGAAAGCGUGGGGAGCAAACAAGG